AUGAACGCUGGCGGCAUGCUUAACCCAUGCCAGUCGAACGGGAAGUGGUGUUUCCAGUGGCGAACGGGUGAGUAACGCGUAAGAACCUGCCCUUGGGAGGGGAACAACAACUGGAAACGGUUGCUAAUACCCCGUAGGCUGAGGAGCAAAAGGAGAAAUCCGCCCAAGGAGGGGCUCGCGUCUGAUUAGCUAGUUGGUGAGGUAAUAGCUUACCAAGGCGAUGAUCAGUAGCUGGUCCGAGAGGAUGAUCAGCCACACUGGGACUGAGACACGGCCCAGACUCCUACGGGAGGCAGCAGUGGGGAAUUUUCCGCAAUGGGCGAAAGCCUGACGGAGCACUGCCGCGUGGAGGUGGAAGGCCUACGGGUCGUCAACUUCUUUUCUCGGAGAAGAAACAAUGACGGUAUCUGAGGAAUAAGCAUCGGCUAACUCUGUG
rnacentral:rRNA from 1 species